CAGCAGCCGCGGUAAUACGUAGGGUGCGAGCGUUAAUCGGAAUUACUGGGCGUAAAGCGUGCGCAGGCGGAUCGUUAAGACAGAUGUGAAAUCCCCGGGCUUAACCUGGGAAUGGCAAUGGAUACUGGCGAGCUAGAGUGUGUCAGAGGAUGGUGGAAUUCCAGGUGUAGCAGUGAGAUGCGUAGAGAUGUGGAGGAAUACCGAUGGCGAAGGCAGCCCCCUGGGCCAAUACUGACGCUCAUGCACGAAAGCGUGGGGAGCAAACAGGAUUAGAUACCCCGGUAGUCCCUGUCUCUUAUAC
rnacentral:rRNA from 1 species